CACCCGAGGGCGCAUUAAGAUCUGCUAACUCUUUAAACCGGAAAUAACCCCCGGCUCCCUCU
rnacentral:tRNA from 1 species